UACGUAGGGUGCAAGCGUUAAUCGGAAUUACUGGGCGUAAAGCGUGCGUAGGCGGCUUUGCAAGACAGAUGUGAAAUCCCCGGGCUUAACCUGGGAACUGCAUUUGUGACUGCAUGGCUGGAGUGCGGCAGAGGGGGAUGGAAUUUCGCGUGUAGCAGUGAAAUGCGUAGAUAUGCGGAGGAACACCGAUGGCGAAGGCGAUCCCCUGGGCCUGCACUGACGCUCAUGCACGAAAGCGUGGGGAGCAAACAGG
rnacentral:rRNA from 1 species